GGUGGUGGUGGGAGGGAGGGGGGGGGAUAGGAAAGGUCAUUAAAUAGGACAAUUUAAUACAAGGGAUGCAGCAUACAGUCACGGUCCUGUUGAUCAGCCUCCCUCCCAAGUAGCCUCCCUCCGAACAAAGCACACAUGGGGACAGGGCCACAGGGACACUUGGGCACAGGAGUAGUUUGUUCAAGAUGCAGUGUUUCCAUGGAGAAACCCUGGUUCUCCAUUGGAAGCUUCUGGGGGGUUGUUUGGUCUCUGAUCGGCAAAGUGAUCACGGGGUGAGAUGAAUGAGGAGUGAACACAUCAUGAACACAGACAUUCAUUUUGUAGGCCAAAUUGAGGUGUGGAUGAAUGAGGCGACAACUGUGCGGCAUUUAAACCAUAGGCAGGAGCUGUUAGUCGUGUUGUAUGGUGUUGGCAUCUAACCAGGUUUUAACAAUAAGUGGCAUCUCUCUGGCAUCCUAGAGAAAAUGUACAAAACUGAAACAUGAUCGAUGAAGAUAUUGUGUUUCUGACAGUACCAACCCCUCCCCAUGCCAGGACAUCAAACAGCAGGACCUCAAUAACUGCCCACCAUUAGUAGUAGUAGUAGUUAAUGAGGUUAUCACAAAUUAAAGAAGAAAAACCAGGACACAAACAUGUUAAACCAAAGCAAGGUUAGGUAUACCUGGGCAUG